rnacentral:tRNA from 1 species
CGCCUCGGUAAGGCGGUCGGCGAGGUCUUCCGCGCUCCCGGCGCGGAAGUGCAGGCCAUCGACGCCAUCGCGGAUCUUCUCCGCCAUGCCGCC